rnacentral:tRNA from 1 species
CGUCGAUCGGCAGGGAUGUUCCGGAUCGCCUUGGAGGCAAUCGUGUUGACGUUCUUGAGGUGCUGGGCCUCGUCGACGAC